GUAAUACCGGAUGCUCCGCUCCAUCGCAUGGUGGGGUGGGAAAUGCUUUUGCGGCAUGGGAUGGGGUCGCGUCCUAUCAGCUUGUUGGCGGGGUGAUGGCCCACCAAGGCGUUGACGGGUAGCCGGCCUGAGAGGGUGACCGGCCACAUUGGGACUGAGAUACGGCCCAGACUCCUACGGGAGGCAGCAGUGGGGAAUAUUGCACAAUGGGCGCAAGCCUGAUGCAGCGACGCCGCGUGCGGGAUGGAGGCCUUCGGGUUGUAAACCGCUUUUGUUCAAGGGCAAGGCACGGUUUCGGCCGUGUUGAGUGGAUUGUUCGAAUAAGCACCGGCUAACUACGUGCCAGCAGCCGCGGUAAUACGUAGGGUGCGAGCGUUAUCCGGAUUUAUUGGGCGUAAAGGGCUCGUAGGCGGUUCGUCGCGUCCGGUGUGAAAGUCCAUCGCCUAACGGUGGAUCUGCGCCGGGUACGGGCGGGCUGGAGUGCGGUAGGGGAGACUGGAAUUCCCGGUGUAACGGUGGAAUGUGUAGAUAUCGAAAAGAGAAC
rnacentral:rRNA from 1 species